UACGAAGGGGGCUAGCGUUGCUCGGAAUCACUGGGCGUAAAGGGUGCGUAGGCGGGUCUUUAAGUCAGGGGUGAAAUCCUGGAGCUCAACUCCAGAACUGCCUUUGAUACUGAAGAUCUCGAGUCCGGGAGAGGUGAGUGGAACUGCGAGUGUAGAGGUGAAAUUCGUAGAUAUUCGCAAGAACACCAGUGGCGAAGGCGGCUCACUGGCCCGGUACUGACGCUGAGGUGCGCAAGCGUGGGGAGCAAACAGG
rnacentral:rRNA from 1 species